GACGAACCGUGCGAACGUUGUUCGGAUUCACUGGGCUUAAAGGGCGCGUAGGCGGGCACGCCAGUCAGGGGUGAAAUCCUCCGGCUCAACCGGAGAAGGGCCUUUGAUACUGCGUGCCUCGAGGGGGGUAGGGGCGUGUGGAACUUCGGGUGGAGCGGUGAAAUGCGUAGAGAUCCGAAGGAACGCCGGUGGCGAAAGCGACGCGCUGGACCCCCACUGACGCUGAGGCGCGAAAGCCAGGGGAGCGAACGGG
rnacentral:rRNA from 1 species